rnacentral:rRNA from 1 species
UUGAAAGGGAAACGAUUGAAGUCAGUCGUACCGGUGGGUAAUCAGCCUUUCGGCGUGAUUAUGUGGAACGUGAGGAGUUAAACGCCUUCAUGCCUGCAUAUUCGUGUUCUUUGGGUGUACUUACCCGCAUGGUAGGUUAACAUCAAUUUCGAACGUCAUAAAAUGGUUGGAGGAAUGUGGCUUCGAUCUCGUAUUGAAGUGUUAUAGCCUUCGGCAGAUGUGAUGAUCGGGAUUGAGGAUUGCAACGGAUACCCUUCGGGGCUACCCGUCUGAUCUCUGAAAGUUGCUCUGGUGCCGAAAGCUCGCUUACGGUCAUCAAAGUUGACGUUCAACAGGUUAGAACGGGAUAAAUUCGUUAAGGAUGUUGACGUA